AUGUACACAUAUAUAUAUGAAUUGCUUUUAUUUAGGAUAAUGAUAAUUAUUUUAUUCAAUGAUUUUAUUUACAAUCCUAGUAAUUACUAUCCUAUUAAUUGGUUUUAUUUCCCAUCGUCCCGCCGCCCCGCUCCCGCACCUGCAGCGCCGUGCCCGCGCCGUGCCGCCAGGAGGCGCAGCCGCACCGCGAAUGGCGCAGCCCCGCGGCGUAUGGGGUGUAUAGGGCAGGGGGCGUAUGGGGCAUUUAGGGUGGGAGGCGUAUGGGGCAGGGGGGCAGCACCCCGCGUCUCUCGACCGCGUUCUCGCUCCCUUUUCCCUUCGCCCCCAAGGGGUGAGCGCGGAGAUCCCCGUGGUUUAUUGGUUUUCCUUCUUCCAAGGGGUGCGGGAGCGAGCUCCCAGCAGGGGUCUACGUGUCCUGGAUGUCUUGUAUCCCCCUUCUUGAUGUCCCCCUCCCUUCAUGUCCCCACCCGAGGUGCGACCCCCGGGAGCCCAGGGGGGCUGCCUGCCUUCGAGGGGUGCGCUUUGAACUCAAGGCUCCCAACAUUUAGGGGCAAGGGGCAAGGGCUCGCCCCCCAGGCGAAACACGUCGGGGGGGUGGGGUGGGUGUUAACAUAUGUCUGUCGCUGGUUACACAGCGGGUCGGGAGGGUCACCGUGUGACCCCCUCCCCGUUCCUAUCCCCCCCCGGGACUCAGUUUUUCCACCGCUCGGCCGGAGCGGGGCAGGGAGGGGGCGGCGGGCCGGGCCCCUGCCCCCGGGCGCGCUGCCGCGGCGCCCGGCCGCCUCAUGCCGCAGGAAUGCGCGGAGGUAUGCGCCAGUUUCCAGCAGCGGAUCCCCUUCCUUCGCUGGAGCAGAGCGGCGCAUAUAUCAUCCGGUGGCAGCAGUCCACCUUCCCUGCAGUUUCGUAACCGCUUACGAGGGUAAAUUGAGCGUUGGGAACAGCCCUCUAUUAAGGAGCAGAUUGAGAAGAGGCUCUUCCCACUUGGAGGAGGCAAGUCUUCCCCGACGGACCCCGCACGCCGGCCGGGAGCUACGCCGAGCGAGCCGCCGCUGCUACGCGCCGCUCCCUCCACCAGAUUCAUUCAUGUUGUUGUGA
rnacentral:lncRNA from 1 species